UCAAAGUGGUCACCCAUCCGCACACUGACUGCAGCCAAUUAUGAUUGACUUUAGUGAUCAGCUGGGAACCGCGUUUGAACGAUCACUCUACUGCGGGACCAAACUCAAAAGUUGAAAAAGAUGCAGAGGGCAAAAGCGAGGUGCAUAGAUCCUCUUAACCAUCACCAUCAAAUCAUAUCAAAAAUUGAAGAAAAAAAAAUAAGGGCACUCUUUCUUUAUUUGAUUUCUUGAAACAUCUAGUAUCUGCACAGUAUUUAUAACUCGAUGUUAUUUACAGCGAAGAUUUGACUUUGCUAUUAUAUAUUCUUUCUCGUUCUCUUCAUAUCUUCCAAACGCUUCGCUGCUAAAGCGGCUAAAGGAAAUCUGAGGCUAUCAAUUGUUGAAUCGAGAUAUGGCUAUCAGACGUCGUGAGGCAGCCUUUGGUGCUUUAAUCUAUGUAGCUGCCGCAGGAGCUUCAGCAUUACUUAUGACAAGCGAGUAUGAAUCAGUGCAAAACAUUGGGAAAGGAUUAGCUGGCGUUGUAGGCAUUUCGUUUGUUGCCACUACUGCAGCAUACUUUUUACUCGGAGAUGAUCAACAAAAUGUUCCUAAAACCUCUGCUUCAAACAGAGAUGUCCCAGCACCAAAAAACAAUUGAAAUUUGAGGAUCCUGGUAGCCAACUGAAGUUUUGAGAAAAACCAUGAAUUGACUGACUUUUAUCAGAUAUAUUUAUCUUUUCUGCAGUUUUCAGUUUUGAAUAAUUUUUAAUUAAAAGCAUUUUGAAGUUAAA